GUUGGUGAACCAGCGGAGGGAUCAUUAGAGGAAUACCCAAAACCUCCCAACCCCUGUGAACUUACCACUGUUUCCUCGGCGUGCGCACCUGGAUGCCCGCGGGAGAUGCGGACUUACCCUGUAGCUACCCUGUAGCUACCCUGUAAGGCCGGAUCUUCAGCACACGGCGCCGCUCAAGGUCCCGCCGAAGUACCCUGAACUCUGUUUUACGUGGAAUUCUGAAUGCUUCAACUAAAUAAGUUAAAACUUU
rnacentral:misc_RNA from 1 species